rnacentral:ncRNA from 1 species
AUUAUUUCCCCGGUGGAUUGUACAAAGAACCAAGGUUCUAACGGAAAGCGGUGAAAAUCCGCUGCGGACGCGCCACUGUAACCGGUAUUAUCGGAAUCGUUUUGCCACUGGGACACUGGGAAGGCUGAUUCCGACGGAUAUCCAUCCAAUCCGGAAGCCAGGAGACGGGAACCUUCAUACAAACAAC